GAUGAAGAACGUAGCGAAAUGCGAUAAGUAAUGUGAAUUGCAGAAUUCAGUGAAUCAUCGAAUCUUUGAACGCACAUUGCGCCCCCUGGUAUUCCGGGGGGCAUGCCUGUUCGAGCGUCAUUUCACCACUCAAGCCUCGCUUGGGAUUGGGCAACGCGGUCCGCCGCGUGCCUCAAAUCGACCGGCUGGGUCUUCUGUCCCCUAAGCGUUGUGGAAACUAUUCGCUAAAGGGUGUUCGGGAGGCUACGCCGUAAAACAACCCCAUUUCUAAGGUUGACCUCGGAUCAGGUAGGGAUACCCGCUGAACUUAAGAAUAUCAAUAAGCGGAGGA
rnacentral:misc_RNA from 1 species